CCUACGGGAGGCUGCAGUGGGGAAUAUUCGGCAAUGGGCGCAAGCCUGACGCAGUAACGCCGCGUGAAUGAAGAAGGCCUUCGGGUCGUAAACUUCUUUUCUUAGGGACGAAGAAAGGUACGGUAACGGAGGAAUAAGCCACGGCUAACUACGUGACAGCAGCCGGCGUACGACGGAGUUGGCAACCGGGAUCCGGGUUUACUGGUUGUAAUGGGCGGGGAGUGGGGACGGCAAGUCAGAUUUGCCAGCCACGGGCUCAACCUGUGGCCUGCAUUUGAAACUGUAGGUCUGGAGUGCUGGAGAGGCGGACGGAAUUCCUAGUGUAGCGGUGAAAUGCGUAGAUAUAAGGAGGAACACCAGUGGCGAAGGCGGUCUGCUGGACAGCAACUGACGCUGAGGCGCGAAAGCGUGGGGAGCAAACAGGAUUAGAUACCCGAGUAGUC
rnacentral:rRNA from 1 species